rnacentral:rRNA from 1 species
CCUACGUGUGGCUGCAGUGGGGAAUAUUGGACAAUGGGCGAAAGCCUGAUCCAGCCAUGCCGCGUGUGUGAAGAAGGCCUUCGGGUUGUAAAGCACUUUCAGUGGGGAAGAAAGCCUUGGGGCUAAUACCCUCGAGGAAGGACAUCACCCACAGAAGAAGCACCGGCUAACUCCGUGCCAGCAGCCGCGGUAAUACGGAGGGUGCGAGCGUUAAUCGGAAUUACUGGGCGUAAAGCGCGCGUAGGCGGUCUGAUAAGCCGGUUGUGAAAGCCCCGGGCUCAACCUGGGAACGGCAUCCGGAACUGUCAGGCUAGAGUGAAGGAGAGGAAGGUAGAAUUCCCGGUGUAGCGGUGAAAUGCGUAGAGAUCGGGAGGAAGACCAGUGGCGAAGGCGGCCUUCUGGACUGACACUGACGCUGAGGUGCGAAAGCGUGGGUAGCAAACAGGAUUAGAUACCCCGGUAGUC